rnacentral:rRNA from 1 species
CCUACGGGUGGCAGCAGUGAGGAAUAUUGGUCAAUGGCCGAGAGGCUGAACCAGCCAAGUCGCGUGAGGGAAGACGGCCCUACGGGUUGUAAACCUCUUUUGUCAGGGAGCAAAGCGAACCACGUGGGGUUCAUUGAGAGUACCCGAAGAAAAAGCAUCGGCUAACUCCGUGCCAGCCGCCGCGGUAAUACGGAGGAUGCGAGCGUUAUCCGUGUUGAUUGGGUUUAAAGGGUGCGUAGGCGGUUCGAUAAGUUAGAGGUGAAAUCCCGGGGCUCAACUCCGGCACUGCCUGUGAUACUGUCGGGCUAGAGUGUAGUUGCGGUAGGCGGAAUGUAUGGUGUAGCGGUGAAAUGCAUAGAGAUCAUACAGAACACCGAUUGCGAAGGCAGCUUACCAAACUACGACUGACGUUGAGGCACGAAAGCGUGGGGAGCAAACAGGAUUAGAUACCCGAGUAGUC